UUUAAUCUUGCUUACUUUAAACUUAAAGUAUCAAGAUGCUGAUACUGUAUCUGUGUUGUCUUUUAACAACCUCUCUGACAUACGCUUUGCCUUGGAAAGACGCAAAAUUAGAUAGAAGAAGCGAUAUUCGAAGUCUUCUCCAUGACGUCUACAGAAUAAAAGAGAGGGAAAUAUACAAUACAGAAAAGGAGCCAGAAAAUAAGAAGACAUUGUCAGAACUGGAAGACAAAGAUCUACGAAGAAUAAAAGGAAUACUACAGAGAGUGAAGU